ACCUCUUUUCAUCCUUUUCCUUGGCAAUAGAAUUUCAAGCUUCAUCUUUGUGCUUCGUGUUCCUGCAAUUUCCAGGUAUUUCUCAAUUGCUAUUUUCUGCUCGCCUUCAAUUUCCCCUUCCCCAUUCCUCUUUUCUUCUUUCUGUAUUUGAACUAAUUCUUAUCUGGGAAUUUGUUGUUGUAAUAAUCAAAGGGGGGAAAAGAAGAUAUGAGAGUAUUCUUUGGUUUUUUUGUGAAAUUUGAUUCUAAAUUUUGGAUACUCAAGUGAACUAAUCAAUCUUUGCUUUUGAUUGUUCAUAAAUAUAUAUUUUGUCUCUGCAGGACCGCACUCUUUCAUCUUCGAGCUUCUCCAAGUAUAUACUGACUUUUCAUCUUCAAUCUUCUCCAACUAUUGCUGCAAUUUUGAGGUAAUUCUUCGUUGUCUCUCUAUGUCGCUCUUACAAUUUCUUUUUAGAUUUUAUUUUGUCAAGUUUUUGUUUUCAUGUGUUAUUUUUCUCGAUUUUCUUGAACUUCAAUUAUGGGUCGAUGACUUGAUGUAGUUUGAAUAUGAGAAGAAUCCAAAAUGCAUGAUAAAUACUCAAAGAACCAUUAAAAAGCAGAAACAAAUCAAUCACAAAAAAAAUAAAAUGAACCACCGAAACAAGGAGUGCAUUUCAUGUGCAAGUCCAAGUCGUACAUACCCCACUGAUUUAUCCGAGGCAGCACCAGCAAUUACUUCUUUUGCACCAUCCUGUGUUGCAGAGGUGCAAGCAUCUUCACAGGAUGAUGUCGAGAUGGCCCUCCUAAAUUAACAGGAAAAUUUUCUAGGUAAAUUUCUUCCUCUUUCUUCUUUACUGCCUUGCUCUGCUCCCUCUCCCUUUUUUUUUUUUUUAUCUCUUUUGUUUGUUCUCUCUGAAUGUUGUUGAACUGUUUUCCCUUAUUAAUUGACAUGUUUUCUUCAGCAUUGUAUUCCUUUCUUAGUAAAAUAUUUUGAUUUGUUGCAUUUAGGAUCGCUCUAAAACAGUCUCUUUACCUCUGUGAGGUAGUGUUACACUUUAAGCUCCUAGAACUCACUUGUGGAUUACAUUGGAUAUGAUGUUGUUGUUAUUGUAUUUUUUUUAAAUUCGUUUCAGUUAUUAAUUUGAUUGAAUAUGCAAUUUUCAAAUUUUAGUAGUAUUUUUGAGUCAAAAUCUGAGUUUUAUUGGGUUAAGCCCCUGCUUCGAUUGAAGUUAAAAUCCUUUUUCCAGUUAGUGAUUAGUGAAAAAAAAGGAUUUUGAUUCCAAUUGAAGUUGGGUGCUUAGUAUCAGCAGAUUUAGGAUUUUUAACUGAGCUUUUUUGGAUAGCGAAGACAGAGAUUUGCGUAUGAAAGAGGAAGACAUGUAGGCAAUUACGGUGAAGUUGAGUAGAAAAUAUUAUACUUUGUUUACCUGAGAAGUGAGUUCCUCAUAUGAAAUAUGCUUUCGGAGAAACAUAAUGAGAGAGAUUGAAUUUUCUCUAUGUUCAGCAAUUGCGAAUGGUCUGCUAUGGCUUGGUAUGUGGCGUCACAAUGAUUUUUUUUCUAGAAUUCUAAGGUCUUGAAGAAAUAGGAAGAUACUUGAUCUUGGGUUAUUUAUCUAUAUGAUUAUCCGUGAGGUGACAUGUGAUUCUUCAAAGUCUUGAGGAUGAACAAGUAUGACUUGGAACAAGCAGUAGCUGGAGGAGUAGGUAAGUUAAUGUGGUGGUCAUUAAAAAUUAAUCAGUGUCGACAUUAAUUUCUACCUUCCUUUUCCAUACGGUGUUGAGCAAAGCAACGACUUCUAGCUUUUGACCAUUUUAUAUUUUGUCUCUACAGGGUUUCAACAACAAAGAGAUGAAUGAGGAGUUGCUCAAGAAGAAUAACGGCAACAUUAGAUCAUGAUAUAUUACAAACCCUUAAGUUUAUAAAGAGUUGACUUAGUUUUUUGGAUUAUCUUUCAGUUUAACGCAGGAAAAAAGGAAGAGAAAAAUUCUUAUCCCCAUCAGCUUGAAUUUAUUUCAUAUCUGUGAUGCUCUUUGAGUUAUUAUCUACUAUGAAUUGUUCCAAAAAUCUGCAAUGUUGUUGUAAAACAUUGUGUCUAAAUUUUGUUAUUUGGAUGGUAAGAAGUUCACUUUAUUUGUAGUUUCGGAAGUAUGGAAUUAAGAGGGACACUCUUUUUUCUUUUUUUUUUACAAGGGUAAGAAGUUUGAAUUGGUGUAACAAAAAUCUAAUCUUUAGGUUUCUCAUUCUUCCACAUUCAGCUUAUUAUUAUUCUGCUGUUGGAGUUCUGUUUUAGUAAUUAUUGAAGAAACCAGC
rnacentral:lncRNA from 1 species